rfam:Myotis brandtii contig258576, whole genome shotgun sequence.
AGAGGCCCUCUGCGGCCCGGGCGGAACGCUUGCCUCAUCGCUGCGGCAACAAAGCAAGCAUUCCACCAGGCCACUCACACUGCCCGC